rfam:Zootermopsis nevadensis contig22006, whole genome shotgun sequence.
GCCACGGUGGUCUAGCGGUUAGAACGCUGGCCUUGUAAUCCUGGGGUCCCGGGUUCGAUUCCCGGUGGUGCCC